AACGCGAAGAACCUUACCAGCCCUUGACAUGGGAACUAUGGGUCCGAGAGAUUGGAUCUUUCACUUCGGGUGGGUUCCACACAGGUGCUGCAUGGCUGUCGUCAGCUCGUGUCGUGAGAUGUUGGGUUAAGUCCCGCAACGAGCGCAACCCUCAUCGUCAGUUGCCAUCAUUUAGUUGGGCACUCUGACGAAACUGCCGGUGACAAGCAGGAGGAAGGUGGGGAUGACGUCAAGUCCUCAUGGCCCUUACGGGCUGGGCUACACACGUGCUACAAUGGUGGUGACAAUGAGUUGCGAGCUCGCGAGAGUUAGCUAAUCUCCAAAAGCCAUCUCAGUUCGGAUUGCACUCUGCAACUCGAGUGCAUGAAGUCGGAAUCGCUAGUAAUCGUGGAUCAGCAUGCCACGGUGAAUACGUUCCCGGGCCUUGUACACACCG
rnacentral:rRNA from 1 species